rnacentral:tRNA from 1 species
GCCACCGUAGCUCAGUGGUAGAGCGCACCCUUGGUAAGGGUGAGGUCAUGGGUUCAAUCCCCAUUGGUGGCU